GAGUUGGUUGCGACGGUUUGUU
rnacentral:siRNA from 1 species